rnacentral:rRNA from 1 species
CAAUAGCGUAUAUUUAAGUUGUUGCAGUUAAAAAGCUCGUAGUUGGAUUUCGGAUGGGACUUGCCGGUCCGUCGUUUCGAUGUGCACUGGCCAGUCCUAUCUUGUUGUCGGGGACUAGCUCCUGGGCUUCACUGUCCGGGACUAGGAGCUGACGAGGUUACUUUGAGUAAAUUAGAGUGUUCAAAGCAAGCCUACGCUCUGAAUACAUUAGCAUGGAAUAACACGAUAGGACUCUGGCUUAUCUUGUUGGUCUGUGAGACCAGAGUAAUGAUUAAGAGGGACAGUCGGGGGCAUUCGUAUUUCAUUGUCAGAGGUGAAAUUCUCGGAUUUAUGAAAGACGAACUUCUGCGAAAGCAUUUGUCAAGGAUGUUUUCAUUA